rnacentral:rRNA from 1 species
UACGGGGGGGGCAAGCGUUGUUCGGAAUUACUGGGCGUAAAGGGCUCGUAGGCGGCCAACUAAGUCAGACGUGAAAUCCCUCGGCUUAACCGGGGAACUGCAUCUGAUACUGGAUGGCUUGAGUUCGGGAGAGGAAUGCGGAAUUCCAGGUGUAGCGGUGAAAUGCGUAGAUAUCUGGAGGAACACCGGUGGCGAAGGCGGCAUUCUGGACCGACAUUGACGCUGAGGAGCGAAAGCCAGGGGAGCAAACGGG